UAAAAAUUACCAAUUGGAGGGCAGCAACCCAACAACCAGUUGUCCAAUUUAUCUGAAAAAUUCAGGGCAGAUAAAUAUUGACUUGAUUUACAAUUUAACUUCAUGUCUGAUUUGCUCUAAAUGCUUUGGUUUCAUAGUUAUAAGCCAAAAACUGCAUUUUACCCCUGUGUUCUAUUUUUAGCCGUGGCGGCCAUCUUGGUUGAAUGGCCAGGUCAUCGGACACAUUUUUCAAACUAGAUACCCCAAAGAUG
rnacentral:lncRNA from 1 species